rnacentral:lncRNA from 1 species
AGAUUUGGAAGAGCCUCCAGCUUGGAACAGUUUCUUAUCACGAGCUCUUUGACGUUAGCUAGCUCCGACAUUCCUUUAGGCAGCUCGCUUAGAGCCGUACCCGAAAGAUUCACUUUGUGUAAGUAAGACAUCUUCUCAAAGGUACCGUCGAUUUUAGCCAGCUUGUCGCAGCCGGAAACAUCGAAAACCUCAAGGUGUGUUAGCUUCUCCAAAAAAAGAUCGAACCUUUUUUAAAGAUCGGAACUAACUCUAGAUGACCUGAUUGUGUUCAUCGGCGCUGGAAUCUGUUCGGUUCCGCAGAUUCCGCAGCCGUAGCGGAGAUCUAUGAGCUCACACACCUUCUAAAAUUUCAACACGACUAUAAAGGAUUCAACUUUGACGAAAAUAGAAAAUAGAUAUUCUUCUUGAGGAAUAUAAUCACAGAAGAGAGAAAGAGAUAUGUAUAUUUAACAAAAUUAAUUGAAAUAAAAACUAGUCACGCCAAAGACGUAAGUUAUUAUAGUUUGUUGAACAAAUUAACAAAACAUAAUUAAUACUGCUAAUUUAAUUGAUUUGUUUUAUUUAUUUAAUUUAAAGUCAGGCCUAAUCACUUCCUAACGCCCAUUUUGAGUUUGUCGUCAUUAGCUGACGAAGCAAGUCCAUUCUCGAGGUCGCUGACGGCAGGCUUAUUGUGUGUUAGGCAGAUAAGAAGAACACGACGACGUAUUAGCAUAUUAGAUUACGUGUGAACCAUCACAAUACACUUGAACUACAAUCAUUGGCUGAGAUUAGAGUGGUAAUUAAGACAACUAGUUCUUGAAAACAUUCCAAAAGUUUAUUUAUCAGCGAAAUGUUCUUAUGUCAAAACUCAAAAAGUAAGUUCAAAUGUUAACUAAUAAUCUUCAGAUCGGUUAUGCAGUGACCAAAUAUGUAGUACAUGAUUGAAGAUUAGAUUGAAAUGAAAUAAAUCCAUGAUUUUGGUUAUUGGUUUAAUAAGAUGCAAUGAUAGAUUCUAUGAGAUAUUGAAGAGGAGCAAGCAUAUGAAGAUGAAUCCCAUCAGGAGAUUUAACCAAGUUGAAAGUUUUCUGAAAUCAUAGUAUCAUAAAUAGCCAGAUAGUUUAGGGUUUUCGGGUUAAAUAUCAAAAAGGGUUUUUAGAUAAAAAUAUCAGAUAAUCUAUACUAUUAUCUGCGAAGUAAGUUUUUGCAACAAAGCUCUCACGUUAAAAGUUAGAGCGGUUAAUAUCGAUACUACCCUUAAUGAAUAAUUAGAUUUAUUAAUAUAUAAUUCUAUAUAACUAUAAUAAUCAAUCAAUUAACCACAAAUAAAAUAAAAACGUGUUUAAAAUAAUAUAUUCAUGUUUAUCCUUAAUGACUACUCAAAAAGAAGAAAUUAAACCAAUGAUAAAAUAUUUUAUUAGUAUACAUUAGUUUAAUUGGUUGGAUGCAAUACAUUCAUAUAGUAUAAUAAAUUAAUGAUUUUUUCACGCACUGAAAUAUAAUAGAAAGAGAUUUCAUGAUUUUCGUAAAUUUUUACUAAAAUCAAAAACCAUUAUAACGAUCAUGUAUGCAUGUAUCACUGAUUGUUUUUAAAAUAAUUAUAUCUUAGUACCUAUUUUCUUUUACAAAAUUUUAAAGUAUAUAAAAUAGUAAAAUAAGCAUGCCACAAAAUAUCAUUAUUCCAAUUAAUUUUUUAGCUUUUUAUUAUAUAUUUUUAUUUAUGUUUUACUUUUAUUUUGAUUUUGUGUUUUUUGAAAUUUUAAAAAAGGUUUACCUCUAUAUUUUAUUUAUUUGCGUGUAAUUUUUGUAUAUGGUUAUGUUCUCAUAUUUUAAGAAGAUGAAGAUGAAGCAAAAUCUGAUAAAAAGAGUUGAACAAAAUUAAGUGAUUAACAAAACCAAAAACAACUUAUGAGUGUGGUCUUUAAACUUAUAACAUAUAUCUAAUAUUUUGUAGAAAAAGUUAAGUUUGCAUCUGCGGGAAAAACCCCUAAUUAAGUUAUAUAUAUUCUCGUGUUUGGAACUUAUAUGGUAUACUAUUAUAUAUAUAUUAUUACUAUCAAUAAUAUAAUAGUAUAGAUUAAGUUACAUAUACUAUAUAUUAUCAUAUAUUAUGUAAUUAUCCUAUUUAUCAUAUAGUAUGUAAUUAUCUUUUUAACUACAGUAAAAACUCUAUAAAUUAAUAAAUACGUUAAAUUAAUAAUUUUUUCGAUUCCGAAUUGAGCAUGUUCAAAAUAUAAUACAAAUAAAUAAAUUAGUAAUAUUUAAUUAAUAUAUCUAAUACAAAAUCAAAAAUGCUUCUUACUUUAAAAAAUAUAUAUAUUCUAAAAAUAGAAAAAUCUAAAAUAGAAACUUUUUGUAAAUUAAUGACUCUACCAAUUAAUAAAACUUUAUAUCAAUAACUCUACAAAUGUAUUAAUUUUUAAUUGUAAGUCAGUUACUUUGGUAUUCAAUAAGAGCUUUAUUAAUGAUAAUAAACAAGGAAACAACAUAUAUACACAAAUUAAAGGUUUGUGUAACCAAAUUGUGGAAGAUGUGAAGAGCGAAAAGUUAAAAAAAAAUUUAUACAAAUUUUAAUUCUCAAACUAACAUUCUAAAAGAGAUGUCUCUCAUCAAAUAUUUUUUUUUAUGAUAGGCCAGUCUGGAACACAUCUUUUCUCAAAGGCAUUCUUCUGUCUUACUAUGCAUUUAAGAAAUAUUGAGUUCACGAAGACAUGGAUUUGCUAUUAUAAACAUCAUCAUAUUAGAUUUCCCUUAUUUUUAAUUUAUUUUUAUAAAAUUGUAACUAUUGUAUAAAACUAAAUAAUGAAAAGUAGAAUGCUUAUAUCUAGAAAAAAUAUUAAACAAAAAUAUAAAUCGGUAUUAGUUAAAAUUUAAUUGACCAUUUCCUUAUUCAUAUAUAAGAUAGUCUUAUUACAUUUUUAAAUAUCUAUAUAUUUUUGUAGAGUUAAAAGAAAGAAAAUAGAUUCUGAAUUUUCAAGUUUUUCAUAAUAAAAAUAUUUUUUGUAUUUUGUGAAAACUUUUUUCAUGUAUAAAAUGUUUAAAUUUUAAUUUAUUCUAAAAUUUUCGAAUACAUGAACAAUUAUUCAUCUUAAAUUUUUUGAUUGAUUUAUUUUCUUUUGUCAAUAAUCGACCGUAAGAUGAUUAUUACGCAAACUUAAAAAUUAAAAAUUAAUCUAAAUUUUAUUUGUUUAGAUAAAUGAUUAAAGUUAAUAAUAAAAAUUAUCCAAAAGCAUAAAAUAUAUUUUAAGUUAAAAAGAUAAAAUUUAUAUGAUUAGGUAAAUGAUUAAAGUAAUAAUAAAAAUAAUACAAAACUUAAAAAUAUAUUUUAACUUAAAAAAUAUAAUUAAUAUAUAUAUUGUGCUGUUAUUUGAAAAUUAUCUUUUGAUAAAAACUAAAAAAAAAUUAAAAAAAGAAAAAACUAUAACUAAAUAUCAAUCAUGUAAAAUUAUUAAUUUUAUAUAUGAAAAGAGAAUAUCAUGUGAUUUUAAGAUUUAUUUAUUAAUAAUAAACAUAGUGUACAAAGAUACUUUCAAAAUAUUUAGAAUACAUAAAAUUUUUGAAAUGAAAAUAUAAACAAUAAGUUAUCAUUAUAGUAUUUUAGUUAGUAAUGCAUGUAUUAAUAAAAAAACUAUAAAAUGAUUAUGUCUGCAUACGCGGGCAGAACACCUAGUUUUAAAUAUUUAGAUAAAAGUAUUAUGUAAAUUUUUUUAGGUAAUUCGGUUUACGAAUAGUGUUAUUUUAAUAUUUGAUUAUUUAAAAAUUAAAUCUAAUUAUAUAAACUAUUUUAUAGAAAUUUGGGUACUCAUUAUGUUCUCGGUUAGGUUAUAACUUUUUAGUUCUAGAAAUAUAAGAUUAUUUGGAUCAUUCAUAGUAUCUGAAGCUGAUUACUUCCGGAUAAAUGUGCCCUUACUUGGAACAAUUUUGAAUACAAAAUCCAUAUUCUACAUUGGCAGACCAAAAUACGAGAGAAAUUUAUUCAUUUGUAUAUUACAUAACACAACAACAAAGCAAACAUUUUUAAACGUUUGUUACAAGCUCUAUCAAAGUCCAAGACUUUGAAGAUUAUUCAAUCAUUUAUACUGAAAACUCAAAAAAAAAAACAGUGGGAACAACAGGGAGAGAGAUGAUGAUGGGAAAACUUUUGAGUCACACACGGGAGCUUUUAUCUUGUUUCUAAACUGGGCCUGUUGUUUGAAUUUCAGGCGCAGUAUCCCUGCACAGACAGAACAGUAGUGAGUGUGCAACAAACAAAGAUUUUAUAUUUAUCUUUUUCUUGUUUAAGUUUAUACUUACUUGCGAGUCUGAUCCUCCUUUGAAGAUGAAGCUUCUUCUGUCUUCUCCGUUCCUAUCUUCAGCUCCUCAAGUGUAGCUGUAAAUCUCGGACACUUGUCGUUUGUGUAUUUCUCCAGACUCCGAAACUUAACUCCAUCCGACGAUAAAACAGGCAAAUCAAGAAGGUAUAGCUUCCGAAGAUUCGGCAGCUCUCCUGCUUUUUCUACAUCAAACAGUUUCUUCAGCUGAUCACAAAACUUCACACGUAGAACCUCAAGGUUUUCAGGAACCUGAGAGGCUCCCUGGAAGAUCGUUUCGAUGUUUCGACAACAAUCUAUGCUUAGCUUCUUAAGGUUCUUGAAGACGGCGGAUCCUCCAUUACCUCCACUGUCUAGUCUUUUGAGCAACGGAAGAUUCGAGACCCAAAGAAUCUCCAACGACGACGGCGAUGACGACACGAAGAGAUUCUCCAUCUUCUUGCACCUCUCUACCCAACAACCCUUCACGGAACUCAUUUUAAACUUGUCGAGGAUUAAAGAUACGUUCUCCAUUUCAUUAUCUGAAACAGAGACAUACUCUGCUUUGGACAUAUCAUCGUCCACUGGUCUGUUAGUGUCAAAGAUCUGGACACCCUUAGGAACUUCAGGGUCAAGAACUCUGUAUCUAUCUCCGUGAUGAACAAUCUUCUCUCUUUCUUCUCCCGUCUUGUCUGCUAAGCCAGGGAAGCUAGAUCCCUCUGGAUCCUUUUCGAGUUUCUCCUUUAUCUUCCCCCACUCGUCGUCCUCUAAAAACUUCGAAUCCGAGAGAACAAUGCGUUUGGAAGAACAGAGGAUGCUCUGUUUCGGCAACUCCCGAAACGUCUUGACCUUAGUCCCAGAGAGAUUCGCCUCGCAAAGGUAAGACAUAUUCUCGAACGAUCCUUCGAUUUUCUUCAGCUCGCCGCACCCGGAAACAUCCAAGAUCUCAAGAUGGAUCAUCUUCUCAAGAUUUGGAAGAGCCUCCAGCUUGGAACAGUUUCUUAUCACGAGCUCUUUGACGUUAGCUAGCUCCGACAUUCCUUUAGGCAGCUCGCUUAGAGCCGUACCCGAAAGAUUCACUUUGUGUAAGUAAGACAUCUUCUCAAAGGUACCGUCGAUUUUAGCCAGCUUGUCGCAGCCGGAAACAUCGAAAACCUCAAGGUGUGUUAGCUUCUCGAUGCUCGGAAGCUCUUUCAUCGCGGAGCAGUUCCUUAUCAGAAGCUGGUUGAGAUGGACGUCGUCGUUGAUC